rnacentral:rRNA from 1 species
GAAUUGCCUUUGAUACUGUUAUUCUUGAGUGUAGUUGAAGUGGGCGGAAUAUAGCAUGUAGCGGUGAAAUGCAUAGAUAUGCUAUAGAACACCAAUUGCGAAGGCAGCUCGCUAAACUAUAACUGACGCUGAGGCACGAAAGCGUGGGGAGCGAACAGGAUUAGAUACCCUGGUAGUCCACGCCGUAAACGAUGAACACUCGCUGUUGGCGAUACACAGUCAGCGGCUUAGCGAAAGCGUUAAGUGUUCCACCUGGGAAUUACGAUCGCAAGGUUGAAACUCAAAGGAAUUGACGGGGGCCCGCACAAGCGGUGGAGCAUGUGGUUUAAUUCGAUGCAACGCGAAGAACCUUACCGAGAAUUGACAUCCCGUGACUACCUGUGAGAGCA